rnacentral:rRNA from 1 species
UACGAAGGGGGCGAGCGUUGUUCGGAUUUACGUGGGCGUAAAGGGCGCGUAGGCGGCAAUUCAAGUCAUCUCGUGAAAUCUCCGGGCUUAACUCGGCAACGGUCAGGUGAUACUGCUUUGCUAGAGUGCAGAAGGGGCAAUCGGAAUUCUUGGAUGUAGCGGUGAAAUGCGUAGAUAUCAAGAGGAACACCUGAGGUGAAGACGGGUUGCUGGGCUGACACGUGACGCUGAGGCGCGAAAGCGUGGGGAGCAAACAGG